GGGGAGUGCACGAAAACAGUAAGUACCGCUAAUUCUUACACCCGCGGUUAAAUUCCGCGGCUCCCUC
rnacentral:tRNA from 1 species